rnacentral:rRNA from 1 species
GACGAACGCUGGCGGCGUGCUUAACACAUGCAAGUCGAACGGAAAGGCCCUGCUUUUGUUGGGUGCUCGAGUGGCGAACGGGUGAGUAACACGUGAGUAACCCGCCCUUGACUUUGGGAUAACUUCAGGAAACUCGGGCUAAUACCGCAUAUGAGCUCUUGCUCCAUGUUGGGUGAUGGAUAGUUUCGGCGGUUGUAGAUGGACUCGCGGCUUAUCCGCUUGGUAGUGUGGUAGUGGCUUACCAAGGCUUUGACGGAUAGCCUGCAUGAGAGGGGGACCAGGCACAAUGGGACUGAGAGAGGGCCCAGAAGCAUACGGGAGGCAACAGUGGGGAAUAUUACGGAAUGAGGGGGAGCCAGUGACAGCAGCGCAGCGUGCGGGAAGACGGGCUUCGGGUGUUGAACCGAUUUCGCAGGAGCUGAAGAGGGAGUGACGGUAAUGGGUAAAGAAGCACCGGCUAACUACGUG